AAGUUCAAAAGUAGGUAAUGUAAAUGAUAGGUUGGGGGCAAAACAAUAUUUCUCUAGCUUGAAAGGAAAGUUAAAAAUCUGAGUUUGUGGCUGAGUAACUGUAAAAGCCAGGCAGAGUUGUUUUCUAUCAGAUCUUUAAUCUGUGUUUCAGAGAUUGAAUGAGAAAACAAAUUCUCAAAAGCCUGGCUGCCACUGUAUUGGAGGAAAAUUCACAUUGGGUGAGAAAGAAGAAAGAGAUCAACAGUGGGACACAUCAAAUAGCAUUCAAAGAGGUUAUUUUGGCAGAACAGCAGAUUAAGGAUAUUGUAAACCAUCAGUUUGCAAGAUCACAUCUUCUCUGCCCAGUUUGGAGUAUCCUGCCCUCACUCUGACCACCACUGAAAAGUCAAGUGAAGCCUUUGGACCAGAAGAAGCUUAUCUGAGGAGAUGGCACCCUGCUUUCAUCUUUCAGUGUGCCAAAAGCACAGCUAUAAUUGUCAGUCCAUGAGCCACAUUGCUCCAUCCCUUAAUGGUUCAUGCUGGUGCCUGCAUCAGCUUCAGCCAAUCUCCCAAAAUAUAAAGCAUUCCUUCAAACUCUCA